rnacentral:rRNA from 1 species
UACGUGGGGUGCAAGCGUUGUUCGGAAUUACUGGGCGUAAAGCGCGUGUAGGCGGCUAAUUAUGUCAGGUGUGAAAGCCCUCGGCCUAACUGAGGAAGUGCGCCUGAAACUGAUUGGCUUGAGUACGAGAGAGGAGGACGGAAUUCCCAGUGUAGAGGUGAAAUUCGUAGAUAUUGGGAGGAACACCGGCGGCGAAAGCGGUUCUCUGGAUCGAUACUGACGCUAAGACGCGAAAGCGUGGGUAGCAAACAGG